rnacentral:rRNA from 1 species
GAUGAACGCUGGCGGCGUGCCUAAUACAUGCAAGUCGAGCGAACAGACGAGGAGCUUGCUCCUCUGACGUUAGCGGCGGACGGGUGAGUAACACGUGGAUAACCUACCUAUAAGACUGGGAUAACUUCGGGAAACCGGAGCUAAUACCGGAUAAUAUAUUGAACCGCAUGGUUCAAUAGUGAAAGACGGUUUUGCUGUCACUUAUAGAUGGAUCCGCGCCGCAUUAGCUAGUUGGUAAGGUAACGGCUUACCAAGGCAACGAUGCGUAGCCGACCUGAGAGGGUGAUCGGCCACACUGGAACUGAGACACGGUCCAGACUCCUACGGGAGGCAGCAGUAGGGAAUCUUCCGCAAUGGGCGAAAGCCUGACGGAGCAACGACGCGGGAGUGAUGAAGGUCUUCGGAUCGUAAAACUCUGUUAUUAGGGAAGAACAAAUGUGUAAGUAACUAUGCACGUCUUGACGGUACCUAAUCAGAAAGCCACGGCUAACUACGUG